rnacentral:rRNA from 1 species
UACGUAGGGUGCGAGCGUUAAUCGGAAUUACUGGGCGUAAAGCGCGCGUAGGCGGUUUUUUAAGUCAGAUGUGAAAGCCCCGGGCUCAACCUGGGAAUGGCAUUUGAAACUGGGGAACUAGAGUGUGUGAGAGGGGGGUAGAAUUCCAAGUGUAGCGGUGAAAUGCGUAGAGAUUUGGAGGAAUACCAGUGGCGAAGGCGGCCCCCUGGCACAAUACUGACGCUGAGGUGCGAAAGCGUGGGGAGCAAACAGG